rnacentral:rRNA from 1 species
GAGCGUAGGGGGCCAGCGUUGUUCGGAAUUACUGGGUGUAAAGGGUUCGUAGGCGGUGCGGCAAGUUGGGAGUGAAAUCUCUGGGCUUAACCCAGAGGCUGCUUCCAAAACUGCUGUGCUUGAGUGUGGGAGAGGCGCGUGGAAUUGCAGGUGUAGCGGUGAAAUGCGUAGAUAUCUGCAGGAACACCCGUGGCGAAAGCGGCGCGCUGGACCACUACUGACGCUGAGGAACGAAAGCUAGGGGAGCAAACAGG